UGAGCAACCUGCCCUUAGCUCUGGGAUAACCCCGGGGAAACCGGGGCUAAUACCGGAUACUCCGGCUGGAUCGCAUGGUCCGGCCGGGAAAGCUCCGGCGGAGAAGGAUGAGCUCGCGGCCUAUCAGCUAGUUGGUGUGGGUAACGGCCCACCAAGGCGACGACGGGUAGCCGGCUUGAGAGGGUGACCGGCCACACUGGGACUGAGACACGGCCCAGACCUCCUACGAGAG
rnacentral:rRNA from 1 species